UACAAAAACCUGGCGUUCGCUCGGUUCCCUUUACACUUUAUUCACACCAGAAAUGCUGAAUCAUGACUCUGAGGGUUGUAAAACAAAAACUAUUUCGACUGGGACACCAGGAUCCCCGGAGGAUCCCACGCUUCUGCAAUCCUUUGCUUUGCAUCUUUUAAAAUCGAAAUCGCGAGCCCCUCCGCAGACCUGCAGACUGGAAAGGCUCGGGGAGCAGCCGAAGGGUGCAGGUGCAGAGUUAUCAGAGUUCUCCAUGACAAUGGAGAAAAGAGAAGGAUGAGAGCUGAACUCCAAAAAGACAUUGGAAGAGUAAAGGGAAAGAGAUAAAGGAAACAUCUAAGUAGGGUUCCAGGUUUCUGCGCUAGAUUUCCUUAGGUUUUCCUCUACAUUCAGCGGCAUUUCCAGCCUAUUUAGUUCGGAUGAUAAAUUUGGGAUGGAUUCACUUUAACAUAGUGAGAUUCCUUAAAAGUCCUCUCAAGCAUGAACCAGAAAACAGUAGAAAAAUGGUGAUGUCAGAGAUGGGUUUACAUUGAUAUGCCAAGUCCAUCAUCCCCUCUGCUUCUCUCUUAAGGUAUAAAGCACUCAUCUUGGCUAAUAAAGGGGCCCAAAAGGAAAUGAGAUUUUAUUCCUGUUGCUUAGUCUCUGAUUAUUUUUAAAGGAUUUAUAAUUAGAGCAAUACUACCUAAGACGUCUUUUGUCCACUCAGAGCAAUUUAAAACAUAAAUUAUUACAGAAGUGCUUCUCUGAGAGUCAUACAGAUUAAGUCACUCAUGCAAAUUAAAAGGGACCACAGUCCUUAAAGAAAUUAGGACACAACUAAAAAUAAAUCAAGGAUAAGUAGGUAUUUUAAUAAAACAAAUUUCAAAUUACUGCCCACUGUGCUUUUUCAGCCUAAUAUACAUCCUGUUCAGGUACACCCUUAAUAAAGGAACAAAUGCAGUGUUACAGAGUCAGGAAUCAAAAAAAAGGAAUUGAUAAUUUACAUUAAAAUAAAUUUUUGAAAAAAAUAAAAAUAAAUGUUUGUGGUUUAGUUAUUUAAGUAUUACAUGCUCCUGAAGAAAAUACAGCAAAAUAGGAAGGAAAAAAAACAAGAAAACAAGAAAAUUAAAAUAUACUUAUACUUAUCCUACCACCUGGGCCUAGGCAACAUGCACUUUAAGAAGUUGGCCAGCAUGAGGCUGGACAAAUGUGGGACAGUCUGAGGUGUCCUGUGGUCUGAGAACUGGCUGUGCCCAGGUCUGUCCCAGGGCUGCUAGCAAUGACAGUCGCAGAAGCAGCAGCCCCUGGAGAGAGGAAGGGUUCCUCAUGGCCAUAAACUGGCUUCCACACCUGUCUCCAGAAUGUAUCUCUGUGAAUUCUGCCCAGAAUUAAAAUUAAAGAAUAUCCAAAAAAAUUAUCUGUGAUCCUGCACUUGCUGUCUCUCAGGCAAUAAACUUUGUCAGCAAGUUACUACAAGAUAAAAGCAUAUAUGUGUACAUGAAGAUAAAGCAUAGCAAGUACUUACUAGACUCCUUCAAAGAGUUUAGAAUCUCUGGUUUGAAAGCUGCUGCAGCAUUGCAAAGCAAAUAUCCACAGUCUUAGAAACAGACAUUACAUUUUAAGAUUAUUGUAUACAAAAGAAAAAA